UACGUAGGGGGCAAGCGUUGUCCGGAUUUAUUGGGCGUAAAGAGCGUGUAGGCGGCCAUACAGGUCAGCUGUGAAAACUCGAGGCUCAACCUCGAGACGUCGGUUGAAACCGUAUGGCUAGAGUCCGGAAAAGGAGAGUGGAAUUCCCGGUGUAGCGGUGAAAUGCGCAGAUAUCGGGAAGAACACCAAUUGCGAAGGCAGCUCGCUGGGACGUUACUGACGCUGAGACGCGAAAGCGUGGGGAGCAAACAGG
rnacentral:rRNA from 1 species